rnacentral:rRNA from 1 species
GGGACAACAGUUGGAAACGACUGCUAAUACCGCAUAAGCCCACAGGUCGGCAUCGACCAGAGGGAAAAGGAGCAAUCCGCUUUGAGAUGGCCUCGCGUCCGAUUAGCUAGUUGGUGAGGUAAUGGCCCACCAAGGCGACGAUCGGUAGCCGGACUGAGAGGUUGAACGGCCACAUUGGGACUGAGACACGGCCCAGACUCCUACGGGAGGCAGCAGUGGGGAAUAUUGCACAAUGGGGGAAACCCUGAUGCAGCGACGCCGCGUGGAGGAAGAAGGUCUUCGGAUUGUAAACUCCUGUUGUUGAGGAAGAUAAUGACGGUACUCAACAAGGAAGUGACGGCUAACUACGUGCCAGCAGCCGCGGUAAAACGUAGGUCACAAGCGUUGUCCGGAAUUACUGGGUGUAAAGGGAGCGCAGGCGGGAAGACAAGUUGGAAGUGAAAUCUAUGGGCUCAACCCAUAAACUGCUUUCAAAACUGUUUUUCUUGAGUAGUGCAGAGGUAGGCGGAAUUCCCGGUGUAGCGGUGGAAUGCGUAGAUAUCGGGAGGAACACCAGUGGCGAAGGCGGCCUACUGGGCACCAACUGACGCUGAGGCUCGAAAGUGUGGG